GCUCCCUUCAGCAGCACAUACACUAAAACAGUAAUGAAACAGAGAAGAUUCGUAAUGCCCCUGUGUAAGGAUGACAAUCAAAUUCAUGAAGCAUUCCAUACUUUG